AACGCAGGAUUUGGCCAUAUUUUAUUUCUUUGAUUUCUAUCCUAUCACCCUCUUCUUCUGCACUAUCCAGUGGUUGUUGGGUGGAGUGUGGUUGCGGUGCAACACAAAAAGCUCAAUCACGCGACGGCCGACUUUACGCAUAUCUAUUUGUCCCUGGAGUUCCUUUGUUCUCACUACCCGUUGAAUGUCGUUAUUCUUUGCCGGAAGGUAUUAAUCCACAACUCAAUUUGGCCAGGGCUCAAUCUCAAGGUUGUGUUGGCAACGAGUGCUGGAAGCCAAAACUGCCAAUUUAUUCGUGCGGUUAACAAGGAGCCUUUGUUGCAGGUUUGCAUUUUGGAUGCUAGCUCGACGCUGACGGCGCGGGGAGCACUGCGGCGAGCACUUCGGGCUAUUCAUGCUUUUCAAGAAGCUUGCGCUUGGAGGAGGUGAAGUAUUUUAAGCACGCGUGGACACAUUGGAAGCAUUCGUCGGCAGGGUCAUUGCCGGCAACUGGGAAAGAUAGUUCCCUCCUGCCUCCUACCUCCUGCCUCCUACCUCCUGCCUCCUAGCGUUAACCGUAAAUCCAGGGCAGCUCAGGAUCUAAGCCUGGAAGCAAGCCUGGAAGCUAACCAGGAGGGAGUGUGACACAAUUCAGACUCUUCCGGUGCGGGAAUCUGAGCUUCGUCAUACAGUCGAAUUCAUUUCAGAUCACCCGAAUAUGAAGAGCUUUAUAGGGGGAAGAUCUGACAAGAUAUUCCAGCAUUUCAAUAUAUCAAAUAUCUCUUCAAAGAUACCGUUGGCUAUGGGAGAUGUCGUUGGCAAUAAAAUCCAUCCAGUAUUAUCUAGCAAUGUCUAGUGUAGGUAUUUAAAUGAAAAGAGAAGAACAGCCCGGAAUGUCAAAGUGCCCAAAAGCAAAAUACCCACAAAAAUUCCACACUUGACCGCUAAUUUAUCCUUAAUAUAUUCUAAUUAUUGCUAAAAUAUCCGGGGAAGAGCCAGGAGAGCUUCGUGAGGGCUUCAGCGCUCAGAUAUCCUGGAGCAGUGCUCAGGCCAAAUUUACAAGUACCUUCUAAAUGCUUUGCUUGCACGAGAGCUGCAUGUUCAUCCUUUGUAAGUUCAUCGAGCACCGCUCCAAUGAAGUUUCUCGCAUUCACUGAGUUCAUUUUCAUAUUGGCCAUGACCAUAUCGACAGUUACAUCUGCCGCCUCCGAGUGCCAGCAGUCAUAAUCUGUGGACAU
rnacentral:sRNA from 1 species